rnacentral:rRNA from 1 species
GACGAACGCUGGCGGCGUGCCUAAUACAUGCAAGUUGAGCGCUGAAGGUUGGUACUUGUACCAACUGGAUGAGCAGCGAACGGGUGAGUAACGCGUGGGGAAUCUGCCUUUGAGCGGGAGACAACAUUUGGAAACGAAUGCUAAUACCGCAUAAAAACUUUAAACACAAGUUUUAAGUUUGAAAGAUGCAAUUGCAUCACUCAAAGAUGAUCCCGCGUUGUAUUAGCUAGUUGGUGAGGUAAAGGCUCACCAAGGCGAUGAUACAUAGCCGACCUGAGAGGGUGAUCGGCCACAUUGGGACUGAGACACGGCCCAAACUCCUGCGGGAGGCAGCAGUAGGGAAUCUUCGGCAAUGGACGAAAGUCUGACCGAGCAACGCCGCGUGAGUGAAGAAGGUUUUCGGAUCGUAAAACUCUGUUGGUAGAGAAGAACGUUGGUGAGAGUGGAAAGCUCAUCAAGUGACGGUAACUACCCAGAAAGGGACGGCUAACUACGUG